AUUGAACGCUGGCGGCAGGCCUAACACAUGCAAGUCGAACGAGUGGCGGACGGGUGAGUAAUGUCUGGGAAACUGCCUGUUGGAGGGGGAUAACUACUGGAAACGGUAGCUAAUACCGCAUACCCUCAGAUGUGCCCAGAUGGGAUUAGCUUGUUGGUGGGGUAACGGCUCACCAGGGCGACGAUCCCUAGCUGGUCUGAGAGGAUGACCAGCAACACUGGAACUGCGACCCGGUCCAGACUCCUACGUGAGGCAGCAUUGGUGAAUAUUGCACAAUGGGCGCAAGCCUUAUGCAGCCAUGCCGCGUGUAUGAAGAAGGCCUUCGGGUGUUAAAGUACUUUCAGCGGGGAGGCGUUACCCGCAGAAGAAGCACCGGCUAACUCCGUGCCAGCCGCCGCGGUAAUUC
rnacentral:rRNA from 1 species